rnacentral:snRNA from 1 species
AGCUUUGCGCAGUGGCAGUAUCGUAGCCAAUGAGGUUUAUCCGAGGCGCGAUUUUUGCUAAUUGAAACAAUGAAGAGAAGAUAAAGGCUUCUACAAAUGAUGUAUAUUGGAUAAAAUAUAUUAGGUAUAUUAACCUUUCAAUAAACCAGAAUAAGGUGAAUAUUUUCUUUUUGUGCUAAAGUUUGGCUUAUAAGAGG